rnacentral:rRNA from 1 species
AGUGAACGCUGGCGGCAGGCCUAACACAUGCAAGUCGAGCGGCAGCGGGUCCUUCGAGAUGCCGGCGAGCGGCGGACGGGUGAGGAAUGCGUCGGAAUCUGCCUUUUUGUGGGGGAUAACGUAGGGAAACUUACGCUAAUACCGCAUACGACCUACGGGUGAAAGUGGGGGACCGCAAGGCCUCACGCAGAAAGAUGAGCCGACGCCGGAUUAGCUAGUUGGCGGGGUAAAGGCCCACCAAGGCGACGAUCCGUAGCUGGUCUGAGAGGAUGAUCAGCCACACUGGAACUGAGACACGGUCCAGACUCCUACGGGAGGCAGCAGUGGGGAAUAUUGGACAAUGGGCGCAAGCCUGAUCCAGCCAUGCCGCGUGUGUGAAGAAGGCCUUCGGGUUGUAAAGCACUUUUGUCCGGAAAGAAAUCCAAUCGACUAAUACUCGGUUGGGAUGACGGUACCGGAAGAAUAAGCACCGGCUAACUUCGUGCCAGCCGCCGCAGUAAUAC